CAGCAGCCGCGGUAAUACGAAGGGGGCUAGCGUUGCUCGGAAUCACUGGGCGUAAAGGGUGCGUAGGCGGGUCUUUAAGUCAGGGGUGAAGUCCUGGAGCUCAACUCCAGAACUGCCUUUGAUACUGAAGAUCUUGAGUUCGGGAGAGGUGAGUGGAACUGCGAGUGUAGAGGUGAAAUUCGUAGAUAUUCGCAAGAACACCAGUGGCGAAGGCGGCUUACUGGCUCGAAACUGACGCUGAGGCGCGAAAGCGUGGGGAGCAAACAGGAUUAGAUACCCCGUGUAGUCCCUGUCUCUUAUA
rnacentral:rRNA from 1 species